AGUCGAACGAUGAAGCCCAGCUUGCUGGGUGGAUUAGUGGCGAACGGGUGAGUAACACGUGAGUAACCUGCCCUUGACUCUGGGAUAAGCACUGGAAACGGUGUCUAAUACCGGAUAUUUCAGCUGGCCGCAUGGUCUGGUUGUGGAAAGAAUUUUGGUCAAGGAUGGACUCGCGGCCUAUCAGGUUGUUGGUGAGGUAAUGGCUCACCAAGCCUACGACGGGUAGCCGGCCUGAGAGGGUGACCGGCCACACUGGGACUGAGACACGGCCCAGACUCCUACGGGAGGCAGCAGUGGGGAAUAUUGCACAAUGGGCGAAAGCCUGAUGCAGCAACGCCGCGUGAGGGACGACGGCCUUCGGGUUGUAAACCUCUUUUAGUAGGGAAGAAGCGAAAGUGACGGUACCUGCAGAAAAAGCACCGGCUAACUACGUGCCAGCAGCCGCGGUAAUACGUAGGGUGCAAGCGUUGUCCGGAAUUAUUGGGCGUAAAGAGCUCGUAGGCGGUUUGUCGCGUCUGCUGUGAAAACUGGAGGCUCAACCUCCAGCCUGCAGUGGGUACGGGCAGACUAGAGUGCGGUAGGGGAGAUUGGAAUUCCUGGUGUAGCGGUGGAAUGCGCAGAUAUCAGGAGGAACACCGAUGGCGAAGGCAGAUCUCUGGGCCGUAACUGACGCUGAGGAGCGAAAGCAUGGGGAGCGAACAGGAUUAGAUACCCUGGUAGUCCAUGCCGUAAACGUUGGGAACUAGAUGUGGGGGCCAUUCCACGGUCUCCGUGUCGCAGCUAACGCAUUAAGUUCCCCGCCUGGGGAGUACGGCCGCAAGGCUAAAACUCAAAGGAAUUGACGGGGGCCCGCACAAGCGGCGGAGCAUGCGGAUUAAUUCGAUGCAACGCGAAGAACCUUACCAAGGCUUGACAUAUACGAGAACGGGCCAGAAAUGGUCAACUCUUUGGACACUCGUAAACAGGUGGUGCAUGGUUGUCGUCAGCUCGUGUCGUGAGAUGUUGGGUUAAGUCCCGCAACGAGCGCAACCCUCGUUCUAUGUUGCCAGCACGUUAUGGUGGGAACUCAUAGGAGACUGCCGGGGUCAACUCGGAGGAAGGUGGGGAUGACGUCAAAUCAUCAUGCCCCUUAUGUCUUGGGCUUCACGCAUGCUACAAUGGCCGGUACAAAGGGCUGCAAUACCGUAAGGUGGAGCGAAUCCCAAAAAGCCGGUCUCAGUUCGGAUUGAGGUCUGCAACUCGACCUCAUGAAGUCGGAGUCGCUAGUAAUCGCAGAUCAGCAACGCUGCGGUGAAUACGUUCCCGGGCCUUGUACACACCGCCCGUCAAGUCAUGAAAGUCGGUAACACCCAACGCCAGUGGCCUAACCUUCGGGAGGGAGCUUC
rnacentral:rRNA from 1 species